rnacentral:tRNA from 14 species
AAGGGAGCAGACUGUAAAUCUGCCGCGAAAGCUUCGAAGGUUCGAAUCCUUCCCUCUCC